rnacentral:lncRNA from 1 species
GUCUAUUCACUGCAAUACAACACUUAAAACACAGUAUAGAGACAAUAACUUCAUGUUAAGAAUAAGCCCAUUUUCUGACAGUGAUCUUCUGAUCCAGAUUCAAGUGUAUGAAGACACAAUUUUGAUUCCAGGUUCUGUUUGUACAGAGGCCUCAUCUUUAUUCCAGGUCAGUUCUUUAUCCUGUCAUCAUCAAAGAGGCAUCCUCUGGCAGCAGUUGGGGACAGAUGCAGUGACCCACAGGCAGACAUUCUGUGGAUAGAAAGUCUGAACUGCAGGAUUCCAUCAAAUCUGUUGCCCCAGAGCUCAAAGAAUCCUGUGGAAGAGGACGUGGAACAAAUGUAAGCUCCAGAGGAUACCUGGCAAACAAGGCUCACUGAAGCAAUUAAGCAAGAAUGACCUUCAUCAGACACAGUUUCUCUGGCGCAGUGAUAAAGGUUUUAAAGACAAUUAUUCUUCACCUAUGAGUCUCUCCUUCUAGUGACGUACUUACCUUCAAGCUUUCUGAUUUUAUAUUUCCGCAGUGGUCCAAAUUUCUAAACUGUUCAUGUAAACAGACACACUUCUGUACUGUCAUGUCUCUGAUUGAAGUUCAUAGCAACCAGUGCCACUUCUAUUUCUUCAUAUCCAUUAACUUGCUCACUUUGCCCUGGCCUAAAGCAUCAGUUUUCCCUCAAACCACUUUUAGAUAUAAAAUGACUCUAUUACAUCUUCACAAAUAAAG